AAACGAAUCCGGCAAAUUCGCACACGUGUCAGCACGUUGUCCCAGGGUGCCUGCUCCUGUUCUAGAGUUAUAAAGGAGCCUGGUUGGGGCAAUCGGACGCGUGGAGGACUAAC
rnacentral:sRNA from 1 species